UGGAGGCAGCAGUAAGGAAUAUUGGACAAUGGGGGAAACCCUGAUCCAGCGAUGCCGCGUGUGUGAAGAAGGCCUGCGGGUUGUAAAGCACUUUAGUUGGUGAGGAAAGGCGGCUUUUGAAUAAAGAGUUGUUGUGACGUUAACCAAAGAAUAAGCACCGGCAAACUCUGUGCCAGCAGCCGCGGUAAUACAGAGGGUGCAAGCGUUAAUCGGACUUACUGGGCGUAAAGGGUGCGUAGGCGGGUAGUUAAGUUAGUUGUGAAAGGUCUGGGCUUAACCUAGGAACUGCAAUUAAGACUGGCCAUCUAGAGUUGAGUAGAGGGGAGCGGAAUUUCCGGUGUAGCGGUGAAAUGCGUAGAUAUCGGAAGGAACACCCGUAGCGAAGGCGGCUCUCUGGACUCAAACUGACGCUGAGGCACGAAAGCGUGGGUAGCGAACAGGAUUAGAUACCCUGGUAGUCCC
rnacentral:rRNA from 1 species